GGGCCCUUAGCUCAGCGGUCAGAGCUGCCGGCUCAUAACCGGUUGGUCGUAGGUUCGAAUCCUACAGGGCCCACCAGAG
rnacentral:tRNA from 1 species